rnacentral:rRNA from 1 species
AACGAACGCUGGCGGCAGGCUUAACACAUGCAAGUCGAGCGAGACCUUCGGGUCUAGCGGCGGACGGGUGAGUAACGCGUGGGAACGUGCCCUUCUCUACGGAAUAGCCCCGGGAAACUGGGAGUAAUACCGUAUACGCCCUUUGGGGGAAAGAUUUAUCGGAGAAGGAUCGGCCCGCGUUGGAUUAGGUAGUUGGUGGGGUAAUGGCCCACCAAGCCGACGAUCCAUAGCUGGUUUGAGAGGAUGAUCAGCCACACUGGGACUGAGACACGGCCCAGACUCCUACGGGAGGCAGCAGUGGGGAAUCUUAGACAAUGGGGGCAACCCUGAUCUAGCCAUGCCGCGUGAGUGAUGAAGGCCUUAGGGUUGUAAAGCUCUUUCAGCUGGGAAGAUAAUGGCGGUACCAGCAGAAGAAGCCCCGGCUAACUCCGUG